UUGUCGCUCGCUCGUUCCCGUUCUUGGUCCUCUCCUUGUCCUCAUUCUUCCCUGGGAAUGGGAAUGGUGAGAUUCGAGCGAUCAUGGGGUUUUCUUCUCUCUUGCUUCUGCAUGCAGUCUAUCAUCUUGCUUUUAUCACCUAGAUCGGAUUUCUUGUUGUGAUGGGAGAACGCCACUGGAUCUUGGCGGUAGGGUUUAACGAGUGUUUUUGGUCCUUUAGAUCUCCAUGCAAGAGUGGUUUGUGUAUGGGUAUCAUUCCAUCAUGUCAACCAGAUAUCGUCUUGCUUCUCUCUUCUUGAAUCUUUUGUCCUUGAUGCUGCGGCGUCGGAUUCAUGUUGACGCGUCAGGGAUUCGGCAGUCUUCCAUUUCAAUGUUCGGAUGUCAGUCGUCACAUCGUGAAUCUCUUCGUCAGAAAUCCUUUUCGGAAUGGUUCUGUGAUCAGUAUCCGGGGAAGGGCGAGUUGGUUCCCUUGGAUCCCUAAUGAUCUCUGUUUCUUUGUUUCCUCAUCUGAUGAGAUCCUCUGACGCACACGAGCCGAUGAAUGCAAUUUUUUUAUAGAGAGAGGGUGGUUUUAACAUAUUUCACAUAUUUGAGAAAGGAAAGGAUACUCAUGUGCAAAGUUCAGAGCAAGUGCCCGAGAAGAAGAUAAAUUGGAUUUCUUCUAUUUUUAAAGUGGAUAGAAGCAAAACGAAAGAAAGCGAACCAGGAGGCCCAACCACUGUAGAAGGAAAACAAAUCAGGGAAACAUCAUCCUCACUGGGAAGUGCAGAAACUUGAGACUCGUGCAACUCUCCUAGAAAAAUAACCAUUCAGAUCUUGUAUAUAAACAAAUUCAGUGCUGCUUGGUAUGAAUAUAUGGAAAAUAUUAUAAAACAAAUCCAGUGAUGCUUCACAUAUGAAAAAAUAGAAAAUAUUAUAUCUAUCUUUAAGUGUGUAAAAACAUUGUUUGUACUUUGUAAUCUUCAAUAUCUUAUUGAUCCUGAUUACUUACAAUAGUUAUUUUGAGUGGGAAUUCAUAAAAUAAUGAUUUCCAGAUAAACAAGCAAAACAUUGGUACAACUGUACCAGGAAGAAAACUUGACAAUCAUGGAAUUGCCACUGCAGUAAUUGAUGCAGAUAUGAUAUUGUACUCCAAAGAGAUUUAGGCAUAAAAAAAGGGGUACAUGGACUUAUAGCUGUUGACAUGCUUCAAGACAUUUUAUUUAUAUGAUAUCAAGCAACAAGCUUAGAGUAUAACUGCGGCUUCAAUUCUUGUAAUCGUGUAACUGCAACCUUCAAUUUUUGUAGUCAGUCAUAAAAGCUGAGCCUUCACUGAGUAAUAUGGUAGAAUGGUAAAAAAAAAUAUAUGGUAGAAUAUUAUAAAAUAUGAAUAUUUGAGCUUUGCAAAUAAUUCAAUCUAUAAACUACAUCUUGCAUCUUCAGUUAUUGAGAUUCACAAAUUAAUGCCUGACGAUUCAUAUCUCUUGAUGACAUUGUAAAAAGAAAAGCUUAUUAUCUUGCCAUCUUUAACUUAGCAUGCAUUUCCUGUUCUCCUGAUUGAUGUUUAAGGCGAUAUCUCAUCUGGUUAACAUUUGUUUGUCUAUAUGUCACAUUUAUGAUUUUUUAUUCAUUUUUUAAAUAAAAGUGAAGUACUAAACUCAACUUAAUUGUCAGGGAAUUGUAGAGUUGUCCUCUCUAAUUUUUUACGGAUCCAAUUUGUAUAGACUAUUUUUCCAAUUUUCCAGCCAUUAUCUCAUCUUAACGAUUCAUUUCUAUUAGCCCUUAGAUGUGACAGGAUGGAUGGAGCCCAUCCUGCCAUGUGGGGCAUACCCAUGAAUGGCUGAAGGGUGAAUGGACAGCUGUGUUGGGGAUGAACUGCACCAUACCAACUGGAAAGGAUCCUAAUUCUGCAUUUGUAAUUCUAAUUGUUUUUUAGGGUUUUACUCGUGCACUUAUAUAAGGAUGUGAAAUAUCUAAACACGGAUGGAUGAUGUGAUUAAAAUGCCUUAAGUCCUUUUUUUGUUAGUUAGAAGACUGUGAUGCAUCUCUUUGGCUCUUUGCUUCUGCACCUAUUCUUUAGUCCAUAAUAAUAUUCUCUUGUCUAUUAUAAUUGGGUUCUAUGACUAUAUUGAAACAUGUGGAAUUGUAAAUUUAGGAGCUCAUCGUUGAAAAAUGUUUGGAGUUUCUCAAAUUUGUUGUAAUUGAUGGAAAUUUGCCGAGCUAGUCAUGGUCAAUACUCACAUCUUUGUUUUCUGUUUGUUUUGGUAGAUUUCUCAGUAACUUAAAAUGUAGUUAGUAACACAGUGUAUUUCUUCUUAAUAUUCUUUUUACCUGUUCAUCUUUGUGCUAUGCAUUACCUUAUAUUUUCUCAUGACCAGCAAAUAAUUGACAUUUAUGUCAACUUAAGUAAUUAGCAAUAAAAUUUUAUCUUCCUAUGCAUAACCUUUGCUUGCUUCUUCAGCAGUUGUAGAAAUAUUUUGUCACUUAUGUGCAUAUGAUGAUUUCAUCCAAGUAUCUGAACUUGUCCGUGUACUUUUCUUCAGCUGGAUAACUUAUUUGACCACAAUCAUAUUUAAUUUGUAUAUGAUGCAAAUUUGUUAUCCAAAAUGCUAAUAUUUUGAAUGAUUCUAGAUAAGAUGUUUAGUGGACCGUCUAGUGUUAGUUUCAAAGAACAGAUGGAGGAUCGAUCCAAACUACAUGAUCCUGCCACUCAGAUCACAUCCACUUCAGGAGCUAUGGUUCAGACCAAAAAGUUAAUUUAUGUUGGAGUAAAAGAUGUCAGAAUAAGGGACCAGUGAUUUAAAAAGUUCUAGGCGCCAAAAGGUGCUAAGAUCCAAAAACGCCCGAGGCGCUAGGCGCUCGCCUGAGCGAAGUGAGGUGCUAAAAUAUAAAAAUAUAUAAUAUAAUUAAUAAAUAUAAUUAUUUAAAUUUUUAAAUAAAAAUAUGUUAUUAAAUUAAUCUAAUAAAUACAAAUACUAUUGCUAGUAUACAGUAUACCGUUAACAGUAUAAUAUCGAAAGAGGAGAAGAGUGUAAGGGAAGAGUCGGAAGACCGAGGAUGUUGAUUGAGAAGAGCGGGAGCGGUAGCUGCGAGCGAUGAUAGUGGCAGCGGCAGCAGCGAUAGCGGGAGCGGCAAGCGGUGACAGUGGCACCGGCAGCAGCGAGCAGCGGAAGCGGCGAGUGGAGACAGUGGCAACGGUAGCAGCAAGCAACGGCAACAGCAGUGGGAGCGGCAAGCGAAGACCGUGGCAAUAGUAGCAGUGGUAGUGGGAGCGCGAGCGGCGACAGUGGGAGCGGCAGCGAUAGCAGCUAGCAGCGGCAACGGUAGCAGCGAGCAGCGGCAACAGCAGCAACGACGGCAGUAGCGUGAACGACAAGCAGGGUUAGGGUUAGGGUUAGGGAAGUCACACUGAUAUUGGGGAAGUCACAAGACCUCAAACGUUGGUUCGGUCACCUGGUUUAACCUAGGCACUCUCCCAAAGUGCCCGGCGCCUGGGCUCGGGCGAGCGCCCAGGCGGCAUCUCUUUGAAGCGUGUCGCCUGGAAAUGAAGCGAGGCGCUGGGGCCUCGCCUCGCCUCGCCCGAGCGCCUUUUUAAAUCACUGUAAGGGACGAUCCAGGUAAAUUUCUUUAAUGACCAGAAAAUUAUGAAUGGUAAAAGGAUAAAUUGUGAAAACAAUUAUCCAAGUGUAGCUUAAGCUAGCAUAUACAACACUUAUGAUGACAUACUAUUUCAUUUAUUUUCUUUGGACUUUAUCUAUCUGAAAUUGUCCGAUGUGACAGCUUCUCUAUGCUUUUGUCUUUGUUCAUUCAUGAGUUGAUGCUACUACUGAAAUAACUUCUCAAAUUGACCGGAUAAUUCGAGGUUCAGAAGCAAGUGCUUCUGAAGCUUUGGCACAUUCAGAUGUUCGGAUUAAUGCGACAGAGCAAACUACCAGAGAUGCUGAAAUAAGCGAUGACAGGUUUAGUGGACCACCUGGUGUUAGCUUUGAAGAACAGAUGGAUGAUCAACCUGAACUACAUGAUUCUGUCACUCAGACCAUAUCCACUUCAGAAGCUAUGAUUCAGACCAAAGAGUUAAUUUAUGCUGGAGUUAAAGAUAAUGAUGGUAGAAUGAGAGAUGAUUCAGGAGUUGAUGCUACUAAAAUAACUUCUCAAAGUGACCAGAUAAUUCAAAGUUCAGAAGCAACUACUACUGAAGUUUUGGCACAUUCGGAUGUUCGAAUUAAUGUAUUAGCGCAAACUGCCAGAGAUACUGAAAUAAGCAAUGACAGGCUUAGUGGACCUUCUAGCAUUAGUUUCAAAAAACAGAUGGAGGAUCAGCCAGAACUACAUGACCCUGCCACUCAGACCAUAUCCACUUGGGAAGCUAUGAUUCAAAUCAAAGAAUCAAUUGAUGCUGGAGUUAAAGAUAAUGAUGUCAGAAUGAGGGACGAUUCUGGAGUUGAUGCUACUAAAAUAACUUCUCAAAGUGACCAGAUAAUUCAAAGUUCAGAAGCAACUACUACUGAAGUUUUGGCACAUUCGGAUGUUCGAAUUAAUGUAUUAGAGCAAACUGCCAGAGAUACUGAAAUAAGCAAUGACAGGCUUAGUGGACCUUCUAGCGUUAGUUUCAAAGGACACAUGGAGGAUCAGUCCGAACUACAUGAUCCUGCCACUCAGACCAUAACCACUUUAGGAGCUAUGUUUCAGAUCAAAGAGUCAAUUGAUGCUGGAGUUAAAGAAAAUGAUGUCAGACUCAGAAUGAUGGACGAUUCUGGAGUUGAUGCUUCUAAAAUAACUUUCCAAAAUGAACAGAUAAUUCAAGAUUCAGAAACAAAUGCUACUGAAGUGUUGACGCAUUCUGAUGUUGCGAUUAAUGUAGCAGAGCAAACUGCCAGAGAUACUGAAAUAAGCAAUUACAGGCUUAGUGGACCUUCUAGUGUUAGUUACAAAGAACAGACGGUGGAUCAGCCAGAACUACAGGGUCCUUCCACUCAGACCAUAUCCACUUCGGAAGCUAUGAUACAGAUCAAAGAGUUAAUUGACGAUGGAGUUAAUGAUAAUGAUGUCAGAAUGAAAGAUGACUCAGGAGUUGAUGCUAAUAAAAUAACUUCUCAAAGUGGCCAAAUAAUUCAAGGUUCAGAAACAAGUACUACGGAAGUGUUGGCACAUUCAGAUGUUCGGAUUAAUGUAGCAGAGCAAACUGCCAGAGAUACUGAAAUAAGCAAUGACUGGGAUAUACUAAAAAGCAUUGUAUAUGGAGGUCUGAAUGAAUCAAUUACUAGCCUGGCUGUUGUGUCAUCAGCAGCUGGUGCUGACGUUUCAACAUUGAAAAUUGUUGCAUUAGGGUUGGCAAAAUUGAUUGGCGGAUUUCUUUUAAUUACUCAUGAACUUUUUGAGCUUAGAACUGCACAAGAUGAAGCUACUGAACAGAAAGAUGAACAAGGUGGACGUUACUGGGAACUGCUUGGGUGGAGAGCAAAUUUCCGCCGGCACUUUGCUGUUGCUACAAUAUCAUACAUUUUAUUUGGCUUAGUCCCUCCUGUUGUUUAUGGUUUCUCAUUUAGGAGGAGUGACGAGAAGGAAUUCAAGCUCAUGCUUGUUGCUGCAUCAUCUCUUCUAUGCACAGCUUUGCUGGCCUUAUGUAAGGCCCAUGUUAAGCCACAAAAAGGCUACGUAAAAACCAUGGUCUACUACCUAGUUCUUGGUGUAUCAGCAUGUGGUCCUUCCUAUCUGGCUGGGAUGAUGAUCGACAAGUUACUUGAGAAGCUUGGUUUGUUUGAUCAUGGGACAACUCUUCAGUCACCUCCCACUCUUAUGUGUCAAGACUUAAGAGAACCAUCAUGGACAUCUUAUUGGUGAUGGAACCCUGCUACUGAUAGACGUGAAGGGGUGCAUCGAAGGACUUGGGCUGAUGCCGAUCUGGUCGUUCAAAAUCGCUGUGCACUCGCUGCUGCUGUCCAAGUCGGUGAUUCUUUGACCGACGGAUGGAAUGGCGGGAAUUAAAAGGCAGCAGGCGAGCUUUCAAAAUGAGAGAGAGAGAGAGAGAGAGAGAGAGAGAGAGGUGUGGGUUUGGUUUCUUUCUUGGAGUCAGAGGAGGUUGGAGAAGAGACGUGGAGAUGAUGAGGGGGAGGUGUUGGAGGAGAGCGGUGGGCUGGUGGAAGCAAGGCGGCGCCCGAGGAGGAGCGCCAGCGCAGUGGAAACUCCUGGUGGAGCAUCGCCGGAGACGGAGGAAGAAGGCAGCGGCGAGGAAGCGGAGCAGAGGAGCGUCUAUUACGACGCGGACCAAGAUUUGUACGAGGAGCAUUUCCUCCCUCCCGGCGCCAUUCGUGUCUUUGCUGGUGCCCUUUACGACGUCUGAGAACAGAAAGAAUCCGUUUGUUUUCCCAGAAAGAAUCUGGGAUCGUUUACGGGAACGGGAAUUAGAAGAUACAAGCGAUCGCGUGGUUUUCUGCUCUGUUGCCGAAGCUUUCCGUCUAUCAUCUUACUUCAUUUCUUGGAUCUUGGCGGUAGGUCUGUUUCUUGCUCUCUUAGAUCGACAUGGAAGAAUGGUUUGUGUAUUGUUUUUGCUUCAUCAUGUCAGCAAGAUGCCUAGGUUAUUAUCUCUUCUUGAACCCUCUGAUCUUGAUAUUGGCGGCAGGGUUUAUUGAGUUCCUUGGUCUUUUAGAUCUCCAUGGACGAACGAAUUGUAUAUGGGUUUCGCUUCCUCGCGUCAACCAGAUGCCUUUUGCUUCUCUCUUCUUGAACCCUUUGUUCUUGAUGCUGUGGCGUCGGAUUCAGGUUGACGCGUCAGAGUUUGGUCGGCCUUUCAUUUCAUUGUUAGGAAUUCAGUUCUUAGAUCGCGAAUCUCUUCGGAAUGGUUCUGUGCUUAGCGUCUGGGGGAAGGGCGAGUUGGUCCACUUGGAUCCCUCGUGAGCUUUACUUGUUUGUUUCCUCAUCUGAUGAGUUCCUACAAGAGGACGAAUGCAAUUCUUUCAUAAUGAGAUUCACAGUGAUGCAAUAAUCUCCUAUCGACAGAUGAAAUUGGUGAAAUGAAGCCCAAAAAGGACGAUCAGAUUGCUACUUGUCAAGAAGCUGCAAAUGGAAGAUCAGAAUUUAAACCUCAAUUGACAAAACAUGGCAGUGAAAUUACUGAAAGUGAAAGACAAAAGAGCAGUACAUGAACAGAGUAUGGUACCAAAAAAAGAGUCUAUUGAAGGUGAUAGAGUUUGAUCUUGAGAGGAUAUUAGAGGAACAGGAUACACAUGAUUUGUGCUGUCCUAAUUGUAACUCAUGCAUCACAAAAAGAGUGAUUUUACAAAAAAGGAAAUGGUCCGUUAGAGAAAUUCAGCAUGAUGUGCCAUCAAAGAAAGUGCAUGAAGAACAACAAUAUGAUGCUGAUGAAAUGACAAAUCUUGCUGAUGCACCAGAACCAGAUGUAUUCAGAUGUUUAUCAUGUUUCAGCUUUUUCAUUCCAACAGGGUGGUUUUAACAUAUUCCGGAUAUUUGAGAAAGGAAAGGAAUCUCAUGUGAAAAGGAAAGAAAUUCAAUUGGAUUUCGUCUAUUUUUAAAGUGGAUAAAAGCAAAACGAAAGAAAGUGAACCAGGAAACCCGUCAAUCAUAGAAGGAAAACAAAUCAGAGAGCCAGGAGGUGCAGAACUUGGUACAAGUGCAACUCUCCCAGAAUAUAAUCAUUCAGGUCUUGUAUAUUAACAAAUUCGUACAUACGAAUAUAUGGAAAUAUAUAGAACAAGUCCAAUGAUGCUUUACACAAGAGAUGUUCAAAUAUUGUUUGUAAUCUUCAAUAUUUGAUAUAGUUAUUUUGAAUGGGGAUUCAUAUUUUGUUGGUGGACAAGAAAUGGCUACUGAUUUCCAGAUAAAUGAGCAGAACAUUGGUACAAUGGUACCAGGAAGAAAGCUUGACAGUAAUGAAACUGCCACUGCAGUAAUUGACGCAGAUAUGAUAUUGUAGUCCAAAGAGGUAUAGGCAUAGAAAAAGGCAAAUGUUGACAUGCUUCAAGACUUCAUUAUGAUGUCAAACAAUAGGCUUAUAUUACAAAUUCGUGCUACUUUACAUACGAAUAUAUGGAAAUAUAUAGAACAAGUCCAAUGAUGCUUUACACAGGAGAUGUUCAAAUAUUGUUUGUAAUCUUCAAUAUCUUACUGAUUUUGAUUACUUAUUUGAUAUAGUUAUUUUGUUGGUGGACAAGAAAUGGCUAAUGAUUUCCAGAUGAGCAGAACAUUAGUACAAUGGUACCAGGAAGAAGCUUGACAGUAAUGAAAUUGCCACUGCAGUAAUUGAUAUAGUUAUUUUAACUGCAACCAUAAAUUCUUGUCGUCAGUCAUAGAAAAGCUGAGCCUUCACUGAAUAAUAUGGUAGAAUCUUAUAAAAUAUGAAUAUUUGUGUUUUACAAAUAAUUCAAUCUGUUAAGGGCAAUCUUGCAUCUUUUUUUAUUGUGAUUCAGAAGGUAUUCAUAUCUGUUGA